UUAAUAACUUAAUUUUUUUUAUUUAAAAUUUAGUUUGUUUUUUGUCGUUUUGAAUCCACAAAAUACUUUUUGGGGGCCAGAAUAAAGUAUUGCACAAAUUACAUACCUGCAAAUCAGUGUGACAUCUGAUGUUUGUCUUUGGGAGACCAGUUCAGAGAGGCGUGGCUUCACCUUGGCAAGUGCAUCUUCAGAGCAAAGUCUGUUCAUUUUCUUCUUUUUUUGCUCAACAUAUUUAGUGUGGCUUAAAAUAUUAAGAAAGAAACCACGCGACGUACAACUACAACAGCUGCUGAUACUGCACACACUAAAUUCCCCGCAGCACUGAUUGGCCGAGCAAUGUAACAUGAUCCUCUGCAGCCAGUGAUGGCCAAGCGGGGCGCGUCAUCACGACUUUACACAAGUGUGUCUUUACCUCCGCGGCAGAGGCUCCGCCGAACCCCUGAGACCGACUCAUCAAACCCCUGGGGUUCGAUCGAACCCAGGUUAAGAACCACUGGACUAAAGUAUCUUGCUCUGGCUCAGAAAUUAAAAAU